rnacentral:lncRNA from 1 species
GCACGCGGAGCAGAGAUCGACUGCUCUCUCAGUACACAGGUACACCCAGCCCAAGCGGAUGGUCACGGCAUGCAGCGGAGCUCAGCCCCGCUUGACGGGGUCGAAGUUGGAGACGGCGACGACGGCGCCGACGAUGGCGACGAGCACGACCCCGCCGGAGACGAUGCUGAGGAGGAAGUUCUUGAGCGAGGGCGAGAUCCCGGGCUGCGCGGCCUCCGCGACCUCCGGCAGCACCAGCGCCGCCGCCACGGCCGCCGCGGCCGCCCACUCCUUGGCCGGGUGCUGCGGCUGGCUGCUCC